CCCGUGUUGGGCGCAGUCUGAUGCAGCCCGCCGCGUGUGUGAAGAAGGCCUUCGGGUUGUAAAGCACUUUUGGUAGGGAGGAAGGGGUGGUAGUUAAUAACGCUGGCAUGUGACCUUACCCACAGAAGAAGCACCGGCUAACUCCGUGCCCGCCGCCGCGGUAAUA
rnacentral:rRNA from 1 species